rnacentral:ncRNA from 2 species
AAUAACCGCAGUUUCUAUGGUCUCUUGCCGAGAUAAUAGGGAAUUCGUUUAAACGAAGCUGUCCCCGCAACUGUAUGCGUGGAGUUAAGUACCGCAGUGAUACUGAAUAACCACUGAAGUCUGUCAAACAGAUUUUGGGAAGGUUGGUACUUAAUGACGAUACGUGAGCCAGAAGACCUGCCAUAAAAACAUUAUUUUC